UACGAAGGGGGCUAGCGUUGUUCGGAAUCACUGGGCGUAAAGCGCACGUAGGCGGCGCGUUAAGUCAGGGGUGAAAUCCUGGAGCUCAACUCCAGAACUGCCUUCGAAACUGAAAGCCUUGAGUUCGGGAGAGGUGAGUGGAACUGCGAGUGUAGAGGUGAAAUUCGUAGAUAUUCGCAAGAACACCAGUGGCGAAGGCGGCUCACUGGCCCGAUACUGACGCUGAGGUGCGAAAGCGUGGGGAGCAAACAGG
rnacentral:rRNA from 1 species